UAACCGUAGGUGAACCUGCGGUUGGAUCAUUAAUAAAAUUAAAUAGAAGAACUCCUAACAAGAGAUCUAUCUAUCACAUCUUGUGAACCAUUAUGUCUCUCGGUGUGUUAAUACGAAAGUUUUUUUAGUUAAAAACCUUUAGCACACCACGUAACUUUUAUAAACUUUGUUUAAACUUUAAGCCUAAAAAGAAAUCACAUAAAAAAGUAAAAACAACUUUUGACAACGGAUCUCUAGGCUCUC
rnacentral:misc_RNA from 1 species